GGAAGUAUAGUUUAUUUAGAAUGUUGUUUUUGUAAUACAGCGGGGUGUCUUUGA
rnacentral:tRNA from 1 species